AGUGAACGCUGGCGGUAGGCCUAACACAUGCAAGUCGAACGGCAGCACAGUAAGAGCUUGCUCUUACGGGUGGCGAGUGGCGGACGGGUGAGGAAUACAUCGGACUCUACUUUUUCGUGGGGGAUAACGUAGGGAAACCUACGCUAAUACCGCAUACGACCUACGGGUGAAAGCAGGGGAUAUUCGGACUUUGCGCGAUUGAAUGAGCCGAUGUCGGAUUAGCUAGUUGGCGGGGUAAAGGCCCACCAAGGCGACGAUCCGUAGCUGGUCUGAGAGGAUGAUCAGCCACACUGGAACUGAGACACGGUCCAGACUCCUACGGGAGGCAGCAGUGGGGAAUAUUGGACUAUGGGCGCAAGCCUGAUCCAGCCAUACCGCGUGGGUGAAGAAGGCCUUCGGGUUGUAAAGCCCUUUUGUUGGGAAAGAAAAGCAGCAGGUUAAUACCCCGCUGUUCUGAGGGUACCCAAAGAAUAAGCACCGGCUAACUUCGUG
rnacentral:rRNA from 1 species